rnacentral:tRNA from 1 species
GGCCACAUAGUUCAAUGGAUAGAACAAAAGUUUCCUAAACUUUAGAUCCAGGUUCGAUCCCUGGUGUGGCUACCA